GCCCAGGUGGUGGAAUUGGUAGACACGCUACUUUGAGGGGGUAGUGCUGGUAACGGCAUGCAAGUUCAAGUCUUGUCCUGGGCA
rnacentral:tRNA from 1 species